AGCCCAGAGCCUGAAUCAGUGUGUGUGUUAGUGGAAGCGUCUGGAAAGGCGCGCGAUACAGGGUGACAGCCCCGUACACAAAAAUGCACAUGCUGUGAGCUCGAUGAGUAGGGCGGGACACGUGGUAUCCUGUCUGAAUAUGGGGGGACCAUCCUCCAAGGCUAAAUACUCCUGACUGACCGAUAGUGAACCAGUACCGUGAGGGAAAGGCGAAAAGAACCCCGGCGAGGGGAGUGAAAAAGAACCUGAAACCGUGUACGUACAAGCAGUGGGAGCCUCUUUAUGGGGUGACUGCGUACCUUUUGUAUAAUGGGUCAGCGACUUAUAUUCUGUAGCAAGGUU
rnacentral:rRNA from 1 species